rfam:TPA: Bos taurus chromosome 28, whole genome shotgun sequence.
UCCCUGAUGGUUCAGUGGUUAAGAAUCUGCCUUCUAAUGCAGAGGAUGCAGGUUCAAUCCCUGGUCGGGGAA